AGAACGAACGCUGGCGGCAGGCUUAACACAUGCAAGUCGAACGCCCCGCAAGGGGAGUGGCAGACGGGUGAGUAACACGUGGGAACGUCCCCCUCGGUUCGGAAUAACUCAGGGAAACUUGAGCUAAUACCGGAUACGUCCGAGAGGAGAAAGAUUUAUCGCCGAGGGAUCGGCCCGCGUCUGAUUAGCUAGUUGGUGAGGUAACGGCUCACCAAGGCGACGAUCAGUAGCUGGUCUGAGAGGAUGACCAGCCACACUGGGACUGAGACACGGCCCAGACUCCUACGGGAGGCAGCAGUGGGGAAUCUUGGACAAUGGGCGCAAGCCUGAUCCAGCCAUGCCGCGUGAGUGAUGAAGGCCUUAGGGUUGUAAAGCUCUUUCGACGGGGACGAUAAUGACGGUACCCGUAGAAGAGCCCCGGCUAACUUCGCGCCAGCAGCCGC
rnacentral:rRNA from 1 species